rnacentral:rRNA from 1 species
AGCGUACACGGUGGAUGCCCUGGCAGUCAGAGGCGAUGAAGGGCGUGCUAAUCUGCGAUAAGCGCCGGUAAGGUGAUAUGAACCGUUAUAACCGGCGAUACCCGAAUGGGGAAACCCAGUGUGACUCGUCACACUAUCAUUAACUGAAUCCAUAGGUUAAUGAGGCGAACCGGGGGAACUGAAACAUCUAAGUACCCCGAGGAAAAGAAAUCAACCGAGAUUCCCCCAGUAGCGGCGAGCGAACGGGGAGGAGCCCAGAGCCUGAAUCAGCAUGUGUGUUAGUGGAAGCGUCUGGAAAGGCGCGCGAUACAGGGUGACAGCCCCGUACACAAAAGCGCAUGUGCUGUGAGCUCGAUGAGUAGGGCGGGACACGUGGUAUCCUGUCUGAAUAUGGGGGGACCAUCCUCCAAGGCUAAAUACUCCUGACUGACCGAUAGUGAACCAGUACCGUGAGGGAAAGGCGAAAAGAACCCCGGCGAGGGGAGUGAAAAAGAACCUGAAACCGUGUACGUACAAGCAGUGGGAGCCCCACCACCAAAGCAUUCUCUGGUGUUGAAGGCCCUGCAAAGCAGCAUCGCGGUGGCGGAGCGUCGUUUGCGACGCCCAACACACAAAACAAGCGGUGAGUGCUUUGGGGUGGGGUGACUGCGUACCUUUUGUAUAAUGGGUCAGCGACUUAUAUUCUGUAGCAAGGUUAACCGAAUAGGGGAGCCGGAGGGAAACCGAGUCUUAAUUGGGCGUUAAGUUGCAGGGUAUAGACCCGAAACCCGGUGAUCUAGCCAUGGGCAGGUUGAAGGUUGGGUAACACUAACUGGAGGACCGAACCGACUAAUGUUGAAAAAUUAGCGGAUGACCUGUGGCUGGGGGUGAAAGGCCAAUCAAACCGGGAGAUAGCUGGUUCUCCCCGAAAGCUAUUUAGGUAGCGCCUCGUGAAUUCAUCUCCGGGGGUAGAGCACUGUUUCGGCUAGGGGGCCAUCCCGGCUUACCAACCCGAUGCAAACUGCGAAUACCGGAGAAUGUUAUCACGGGAGACACACGGCGGGUGCUAACGUCCGUCGUGAAGAGGGAAACAACCCAGACCGCCAGCUAAGGUCCCAAAGUCAUGGUUAAGUGGGAAACGAUGUGGGAAGGCCCAGACAGCCAGGAUGUUGGCUUAGAAGCAGCCAUCAUUUAAAGAAAGCGUAAUAGCUCACUGGUCGAGUCGGCCUGCGCGGAAGAUGUAACGGGGCUAAACCAUGCACCGAAGCUGCGGCAGCGACACUCAGGUGUUGUUGGGUAGGGGAGCGUUCUGUAAGCCUGCGAAGGUGGCCUGUGAGGGUUGCUGGAGGUAUCAGAAGUGCGAAUGCUGACAUAAGUAACGAUAAAGCGGGUGAAAAGCCCGCUCGCCGGAAGACCAAGGGUUCCUGUCCAACGUUAAUCGGGGCAGGGUGAGUCGACCCCUAAGGCGAGGCCGAAAGGCGUAGUCGAUGGGAAACGGGUUAAUAUUCCCGUACUUGGUGUUACUGCGAAGGGGGGACGGAGAAGGCUAUGUUGGCCGGGCGACGGUUGUCCCGGUUUAAGCGUGUAGGUGUGUGUUCCAGGUAAAUCCGGUUCACUUUAACACUGAGGCGUGACGACGAGGCACUACGGUGCUGAAGCAACAAAUGCCCUGCUUCCAGGAAAAGCCUCUAAGCAUCAGGUAACAUCAAAUCGUACCCCAAACCGACACAGGUGGUCAGGUAGAGAAUACCAAGGCGCUUGAGAGAACUCGGGUGAAGGAACUAGGCAAAAUGGUGCCGUAACUUCGGGAGAAGGCACGCUGACACGUAGGUGAAGUGAUUUACUCAUGGAGCUGAAGUCAGUCGAAGAUACCAGCUGGCUGCAACUGUUUAUUAAAAACACAGCACUGUGCAAACACGAAAGUGGACGUAUACGGUGUGACGCCUGCCCGGUGCCGGAAGGUUAAUUGAUGGGGUCAGCGCAAGCGAAGCUCCUGAUCGAAGCCCCGGUAAACGGCGGCCGUAACUAUAACGGUCCUAAGGUAGCGAAAUUCCUUGUCGGGUAAGUUCCGACCUGCACGAAUGGCGUAAUGAUGGCCAGGCUGUCUCCACCCGAGACUCAGUGAAAUUGAACUCGCUGUGAAGAUGCAGUGUACCCGCGGCAAGACGGAAAGACCCCGUGAACCUUUACUAUAGCUUGACACUGAACAUUGAGCCUUGAUGUGUAGGAUAGGUGGGAGGCUUUGAAGUGUGGACGCCAGUCUGCAUGGAGCCGACCUUGAAAUACCACCCUUUAAUGUUUGAUGUUCUAACGUGGACCCGUAAUCCGGGUUGCGGACAGUGUCUGGUGGGUAGUUUGACUGGGGCGGUCUCCUCCUAAAGAGUAACGGAGGAGCACGAAGGUUGGCUAAUCCUGGUCGGACAUCAGGAGGUUAGUGCAAUGGCAUAAGCCAGCUUGACUGCGAGCGUGACGGCGCGAGCAGGUGCGAAAGCAGGUCAUAGUGAUCCGGUGGUUCUGAAUGGAAGGGCCAUCGCUCAACGGAUAAAAGGUACUCCGGGGAUAACAGGCUGAUACCGCCCAAGAGUUCAUAUCGACGGCGGUGUUUGGCACCUCGAUGUCGGCUCAUCACAUCCUGGGGCUGAAGUAGGUCCCAAGGGUAUGGCUGUUCGCCAUUUAAAGUGGUACGCGAGCUGGGUUUAGAACGUCGUGAGACAGUUCGGUCCCUAUCUGCCGUGGGCGCUGGAGAACUGAGGGGGGCUGCUCCUAGUACGAGAGGACCGGAGUGGACGCAUCACUGGUGUUCGGGUUGUCAUGCCAAUGGCACUGCCCGGUAGCUAAAUGCGGAAGAGAUAAGUGCUGAAAGCAUCUAAGCACGAAACUUGCCCCGAGAUGAGUUCU